ensembl:lncRNA
GGAAAAGUCCAAGGUUGUCUGCACAGAGGCCACAGGAAGUUUGCUUCAAAUGCAGAACAACUGUGGAAUGGUCGAUGCAGAGUUCUUAGGCAACUUCUUGUGUAGUUGUAAGACGAUCAGCUUCCUGGUCCUUUCUAUUGGUCAUUAUCAACUUCUGAAGGAAAACCUACCACAUUAUGUAAGAUUAUGGGAAAAAGCUGAAAUGUUGGUUUGAACAGAAUUUUGAAUUUCCAUACCCUUACUUAACCUAACGUUGAAUUUGUUGGAGGACUGCAAUACAAUUCUGCAAAGUCUCUGCCUAAGGUAAUUAACCAUGCUUCUUUUUACUUCUCUGAGUACUUACUUCCUGGAAUGAUUUCCAGUUUAUUAGUUUAGCAUUUAACACUCAAACUGAAAACCUGAGCACAGGAAUUAAUGGGAAUUAUCCACCUUAGAUUGUUAUGCUACCAGAAGUAUUUAAUUCAUUAUUGUGGUAAUCAUUUGUGAUGCUCAACAAAUAUGCCAGAUAUUUGACAACAAUAAUGCCCUAGUCCUUGAGUUUAGUACACUUGUGCAAAACUCUCUGACCAAUGAAAAUGAGCUGAAGUGGCAUGUAUCACUUCCAGGUCCAACACAUAACUGUUAGGUCCAGAUACUCCAGGGGCUUCCCCGGUGGCUCAGCAGUAAAGAAUCUGCCAACAAUGCAGGAGCUACAGGAGACUUGGGUUUGAUUCCUGGGUUGGGAAGAUCUCCUGGAGGAGGGUAUGGCAACCCACUCCAGUUGUUCUUGCCUAGAGAAUCCCAUGGCAGGCUACAGUCCAUAGGGUCGCAAAGUCCAGUGUUCUUGCCUGGAGAAUCCCAUGGCAGGCUACAGUCCAUAGGGUCGCAAAGAAUCGGACAUGAGUGAAGCGACUUAGCUCGCUAGAUACUCCAGAGUUCUCUUAUCCUUUGUGAUGUCAACAGGAUGUGUCCCAAUGUUGCUACUCUGUCGACUUGUUA